rnacentral:tRNA from 1 species
ACCAGAAUGGCCGAGCGAUUAAGGUGUUGGGGUCAAGGCACAAUGGUGUGGGUCCGAAUCUCACUUCUGCUA